GGAGGGUGCAAGCGUUAAUCGGAAUUACUGGGCGUAAAGGGCGCGUAGGUGGUUGAAUGUGUUGGAUGUGAAAAGCUUGGGCUUAACCUGAGUCUGUCAUCCAAAACUGUUUAACUAGAGUGCUGUAGAGGGGAGCGGAAUUUCCGGUGUAGCGGUGAAAUGCGUAGAUAUCGGAAGGAACACCAGUUGCGAAGGCGGCUUCCUGGACAGACACUGACACUGAGGCGCGAAAGCGUGGGGAGCAAACAGGGAUUAGAUACCCUGGUAGUCCACGCCGUAAACGAUGAGAACUAGCCGUUGUUACUAAUUAGGGUAUCAGUGGCACAGUUAACGCAUUAAGUUCUCCGCCUGGGGAGUACGGCCGCAAGGUUA
rnacentral:rRNA from 1 species